rnacentral:lncRNA from 1 species
UAUGUAUAACAAAACAGGUCUGUACAGUCUGUGCAGACUGUACCACCAUUUUUUGGUAUAGGUAUCCAAAUCACCCCCAAAACAUUGUAUUAUGAAAAAAUUUCAGUUUCAUAAAAUAUUAAAUACUAGCUAUAACCCGUGCCUGAAGGCACGGCCUAACAAAAAAUUAAAUUAAAAAUAAAAAAAUAUUAUAUUAUCUAAAGACAUACAUACUCAAUCAUCAAUACAUAUCCAACAACCAAAACAUCGAGCUAGUCGGAACUAAUUUCAAAAAAUUUCAGCAAAGUUUCCUUUAAAAAUAGAUAUCCAAAAAAUUCUAAACCUUUCUACAAAACUUACAAUCAUCAAUACAUAUCCAAACCACGAAAAAAAUCAUCAUUCCAUACCCAAAAAUCAUCAUAACCAUGUAUAAUUAAUUAACUUUACAAAAGACGAAACACAAAAAAUACAAAUGGGUAAAAAAUAGAUAAACAACAUGUUGCAUAAGACCCAUUACUUUAUAGCUUGCACCAAGUAUCCUUCAAUGUAUACCUAAAAAUAUUUGAAAUAUAAAAAUUAUCGAAAUAUGUGAAUCAAAAUAAAACAACUGUAAAUUCGAAACAUAAGAACCCUUACUUUACCCUGAAUUAUAAAUGACAUGUAAAAUAAAUAAUAAAUUGUUCAUAAAAAUAAAGUACAAAGCACAAAUUUCUCAUAUUCAACUUUAUUAGAGGAGACUAUUCAAAAGAUAUGUAUUGAUGAUUUAGUAUGUAUGUCUUUAGAUAAUGUAAUAUUUUUUGAUUUUUAAUUUAAUUUUUUGUUACGUCGUGCCUUCAGGCACGGGUUAUAGCUAGUAUAAGGAUAAAGAAGAUAGAAAAAAAUAAAUCUCAGAUCUUUAUACCCAAGAGCAGUUGGGCCAAGUUAGAUCAUCUGAUAAUUCCACCUUUUUAUUUGUCUACAGUGUUUGCCUUAUUCUAGCAGCUCUUUAUCAUAUUGCUUCACCUCGGUACCAAUAUCUCCAACGGAGGAGAGCCUCCUCCCUGAGACUCAAACACAAGAUUCGAGUAAAAUUGAGCACAAUGUAAAUGAGUUGAUUUUCAGUGAAGUUGAAGAUGAGAAAACCUCAAAAAUAGAUUCACUUACAGUAUCCUUUAAUUCUUAGGUAGUGCAAAAUGAUUAAACCAACUGAUUUCUACUGACCUGACCAGUAUCCUUUAAUUCUCCUUUGAAAACUUUGUCAAAUCCUCAUUCACCAAGAAAGUAAUCUGGACUGAAAAUUUUGUCAAAUUCUUCGUGGCUUGAAAUUCACCAGCUGAUUUUUAACUGUUGGAAGUUGAAUCAGAAUAAAAGGUUUGAGUUUAUUAGAUAUAAAUAUAAUAUUAAAGAAAUUGAAUAUUAAUUUACUACUGCUGGGUAUAAUAAAAAAUAACAAAUGGAUUACAAUGAAAUAGAAAUAUUUUUUCUUCCAACAAAAUGCACAUGGUUAGUAAAACUUAAUAGAGAAAUUGCACUAUGAUUCUCACAAAAUGAGCAAAAGUAUGAUUACAACUAUUAGAGAACCCCGAAAGCAUAGAAAGAACCCACAAAAAAGUACACAAUUCAUAGAACUCACAAGAAAUAAUUUCUCAAAACACUAAGACUGAACACAUCUAAAAAGUCAAGUAACAAUAAAAUGAUGACAUUAAUUGAUGACAGUCUCCAAAGUAUCAUGGAGUCUGGAACUGAAUUAUAUUUACCCCAAUCAACCUACCUCAACUGUUUGGCUUACACUUUUAGUUACCAAUUGCAACACUAUCCAUUCAAGAGGAUAGUUUAACCAGUUUCUUUCCAUAAAAUUUGUUAGUGAUGUUGGGUUAUGAGUUACCAGUGAUGUUCGUACAGUUCUGUAAUUUUCUUUCAGGUAUUAUGGAGUGUGGCUGAUUACAAGAUGUGGUGCACUAUAUAAAUCAAAGUAUGAUCUUUCGCAUUGGUACACAUAAAAAGUGAACUCCAUCACACUCCACAAAUAAACCAGAUCCUUUGAACAAAGAGACUUCUUAAACACUAUUCUACCUAACAAACGUUUUUAAUAUGUUUUACAUAGAGCUAUAGACCUCAACCACUCCAACAAUAUUCUUAUCACUACUAUGUACUUCUCAAACUAUAGGAAUUUGCAACUGAGGUACUUGAAAUAGAAAGAAAACGAAUUUUAGUGCCUUCUAAAUUAAGAGACCAAAUAGACUCAUAUGGUACCUCAUACCUGGAGGAAGGAUCUAUUUAGAAUAUUUACUAAAUGACCAUGACCAGUUCCAGUUACUUUAAAACAAAGUUGCUAGAAGCAAAAAGAGUAAAAAGGUAAAAGGACACAAUUUAAAUACACAUAAGAAGUACCUGUUUCUGAAGAUUCAGAAGAGUCAGUAUCUCUCUUCUUAAUUCAAGAUGCUCUGCGCAAACAGCUUUGGUUGGAACCUUUGGUUUCAUAUUAACCUGUAACAGGAAUAUAUGUAGUGUUUAUUACAUUUAUCGUGAUAAACUAAAGAAAAUUAUUUAGCAAAUAAAGAGUUAUAUAUAGAAACUCUACUAAAUAUAAAUCCAUAGAACUCCACUUACAUUCCUUCCCAAACCCCUCCCCCCAUUAAAAAAAGAGAGGAGGUUUCUUUGGGAUGGAACAACUACCACAGGUACAACUGAAUGAUAUUAGUUUUUUUCUGCAUAAUUAAGUUAAACAAUAAUGUACCUGAUCAAUAAGCAUAUAAGUUAUUGAUAUAUUCCCAUGGUAAUGAAGCGGAUGCAGACACUACAAAUAAAACAAAAAAAAAACUUCAUCACACGCUAAUCAAAAUUUAACCUAGCCCAUGAUACUGCAGUUUACAAUAACAAACUCAUACCAAAGAGAAAGAGAGACGAAUAAUACUGACAGGCACAUCUGCUAAAACCCUUGAUUGGAAAUUCCCAACAACAAAAAAUUUAAACUAAAACAAAAUGAAACAGGAAAAAUAAGAACACUUAAGAAAAAAAAGAUCAAUUCAUAAACACAAACCAAGCAUCAAUGCUCAAUAUUGAACCCUCUACAUANN